rnacentral:rRNA from 1 species
UGGGGAAUAUUGGACAAUGGGGGGAACCCUGAUCCAGCCAUGCCGCGUGUGUGAAGAAGGCCUUAUGGUUGUAAAGCACUUUAAGCGAGGAGGAGGGUACUGGUAUUAAUACUACCAGCUACUGGACGUUACUCGCAGAAUAAGCACCGGCUAACUCUGUGCCAGCAGCCGCGGUAAUACAGAGGGUGCGAGCGUUAAUCGGAUUUACUGGGCGUAAAGCGUGCGUAGGCGGCUAAUUGAGUCGGAUGUGAAAUCCCCGAGCUUAACUUGGGAAUUGCAUUCGAUACUGGUUAGCUAGAGUGUGGGAGAGGAUGGUAGAAUUCCAGGUGUAGCGGUGAAAUGCGUAGAGAUCUGGAGGAAUACCGAUGGCGAAGGCAGCCAUCUGGCCUAACACUGACGCUGAGGUACGAAAGCGUGGGGAGCAAACAGG